CUGUUGCCAUGGUUGCGGGGGGACGUGCUCGGGGCGCGCGUAAGUGUGAUGCCGCUGGUGAGCGCCGGUGGGCUAGCAGCUCUGACGCGACUGCUGCCUCGUUGGUUGCCUUGGUAACCACGGCUGUUGUCAUGGCGACGUCGGGACGCGGCCGGGGCGCGCGUAAGCAUGACGCCUCUGGUGAGCGCCCCGUCGUGCGGGGGGCGGGCUACACAUGUGUUUGUGGUUAUGCACACUUAGGGGUCUUUAUAAGGCUGGUAAGUUGUUCAUUGUUUUAUGUUCACCAUUCGUUUGUGUUGCUGUGUAUCUGUACACAUCCUGAUGACGGUGGUCUACACCGAAACGUUGAUGAUGUAAGCAUUGGAUGAUCUUUUUCUCUUUCUUUGAAUACAAUCUAUUGCAAAAUCCUAUGAGUGCCGUCCCUCUGUUUGGAGAUUAUUUGUUCAUGGCUACCCCAUGAUUGGACAGGAUCACCAAGAACGACUUACCUUGGAUGGAAAAGACAUUUUAUAAGCGGGAUUGUGUUUCUAUAAUACCAAGUUCAAGAGAACCUCACAGAUGUAUCCCGGGAUGUCAGAUUUGUCAGCAGCUUAUCCGGUGCUGCUGUGGUCGGCUAAUCAGAGAACACAGUCUUCAUGCUGGAAACACUGGCAUAAAUCUCUCAGAUUAUCAACCAACAUCAGAUGUGUGGACAGUGCAGAAGUGCACAGUGAAGAGUUCUACAGAUGCAUAUGGCACUAUUGACUUUCAAGGAGGAUCAAAUGUCUGCAAA